AUGCGUCCUAUUAGAUAGUUGGGGGGGUAACGGCCCACCAAGUCGAUGAUAGGUAGGGGUUCUGAGAGGAAGGUCCCCCACACUGGUACUGAGACACGGACCAGACUCCUACGGGAGGCAGCAGUGAGGAAUAUUGGUCAAUGGGCGAGAGCCUGAACCAGCCAAGUCGCGUGAGGGAUGACUGCCCUAUGGGUUGUAAACCUCUUUUGUAUGGGGGGAAUAAGCUUUACGAGUAGAGUGAUGACAGUACCAUACGAAUAAGCAUCGGCUAACUCCGUGCCAGCAGCCGCGGUAAUACGGAGGAUGCGAGCGUUAUCCGGAUUUAUUGGGUUUAAAGGGUGCGUAGGCGGCAUUAUAAGUUAGUGGUAAAAUAUUGGGGCUUCACCUCACUACGCCAUUAAUACUGUAGAGCUAGAGAACAGACGAGGUAGGCGGAAUAAGUUAAGUAGCGGUGAAAUGCAUAGAUAUAACUUAGAACACCGAUAGCGAAGGCAGCUUACCAGACUGAGUCUGACGCUGAUGCACGAGAGCAUGGGUAGCGAACAGGAUUAGAUACCCUGGUAGUCCAUGCCGUAAACGAUGCUCACUGGCCUUAGGCGAUAUAUGGUCUGA
rnacentral:rRNA from 1 species